UCCGUAGGUGAACCUGCGGAGGGAUCAUUACACAAUAAAAUACGAAGGCCGUUCGCGGCUGGACUAUUUAUUACCCUUGUCUUUUGCGCACUUGUUGUUUCCUGGGCGGGUUCGCUCGCCACCAGGACCACAAUAUAAACCUUUUUUAUGCAGUUGCAAUCAGCGUCAGUAUAACAAAUGUAAAUCAUUUACAACUUUCAACAACGGAUCUCUUGGUUCUGGCAUCGAUGAAGAACGCAGCGAAAUGCGAUACGUAGUGUGAAUUGCAGAAUUCAGUGAAUCAUCGAAUCUUUGAACGCACAUUGCGCCCUUUGGUAUUCCAAAGGGCAUGCCUGUUCGAGCGUCAUUUGUACCCUCAAGCUUUGCUUGGUGUUGGGCGUUUUUGUCCCCCCCCAAAAAGGGGACUCGCCUUAAAAGGAUUGGCAGCCGGCCUACUGGUUUCGCAGCGCAGCACAUUUUUGCGCUUGCAAUCAGCAAAAGAGGACGGCAAUCCAUCAAGACUCCUUCUCACGUUUGACCUCGGAUCAGGUAGGGAUACCCGCUGAACUUAAGCAUAUCAAUAGCCCGG
rnacentral:rRNA from 1 species